GUAGUCCACGCCGUAAACGAUGAGUGCUAGGUGUUGGGGGGUUCCACCCUCAGUGCUGAAGUUAACACAUUAAGCACUCCGCCUGGGGAGUACGACCGCAAGGUUGAAACUCAAAGGAAUUGACGGGGGCCCGCACAAGCAGUGGAGCAUGUGGUUUAAUUCGAAGCAACGCGAAGAACCUUACCAGGUCUUGACAUCCUCUGACCACUCUAGAGAUAGAGCUUUCCCCUUCGGGGGACAGAGUGACAGGUGGUGCAUGGUUGUCGUCAGCUCGUGUCGUGAGAUGUUGGGUUAAGUCCCGCAACGAGCGCAACCCUUGACCUUAGUUGCCAGCAUUCAGUUGGGCACUCUAAGGUGACUGCCGGUGACAAACCGGA
rnacentral:rRNA from 1 species